GCGGGAAUAGCUCAGUUGGUAGAGCACGACCUUGCCGAAGGGUCGGGUCGCGAGUUCGAGUCUCGUU
rnacentral:tRNA from 1 species